GGAUGGUCCAAAGGUAGUGAGUUAUCUCAACAGAAUGUUUACAUCAGUUACAGAUCAAACUCCUUGUUCUGCUCUUUCUUCUCACUACUGCACUUGACCAGUCCAAA
ensembl:misc_RNA Y_RNA Y RNA